GAUGAAGAACGUAGCGAAAUGCGAUACUUGGUGUGAAUUGCAGAAUCCCGUGAACCAUCGAGUCUUUGAACGCAAGUUGCGCCCGAAGCCAUCAGGUUGAGGGCACGUCUGCCUGGGCGUCACAUAUCGUUGCCCAAUGCCUAUUGCAGUGCAAUAGGAAUUUCUAGGGCGAAUGAUGGCUUCCCGUGAGCGUUGUUGCCUCGCGGUUGGUUGAAAAUCGAGUCCUUGGUAGGGUGUGCCAUGGUAGAUGGUGGUCGAGUUAGAACGAUACCGAUCAAGUGCAUGCUCCCCAAAAUAUGGCCUCUAUGACCCACACGCGUCUUUUGACGCUCAUGACGAGACCUCAGGUCAGGCGGGGCUACCCGCUGAAUUUAAGCAUAUCAAUAAGCGGAGGA
rnacentral:misc_RNA from 1 species